rnacentral:rRNA from 1 species
GAUGAACGCUGGCGGCGUGCUUAACACAUGCAAGUCGAACGAAGCACUUAAUGAGAUUUCUUCGGAUUGAUUAUUUUGUGACUGAGUGGCGGACGGGUGAGUAACGCGUGGGUAACCUGCCCCAGACCGGGGGAUAACAGUCGGAAACGACUGCUAAUACCGCAUAAGCGCACAGUGCCGCAUGGCACGGUGUAGAAAAACUCCGGUGGUCUGGGAUGGACCCGCGUCCGAUUAGUUAGUUGGCGGGGUAACGGCCCACCAAGACCGCGAUCAGUAGCCGGCCUGAGAGGGUGAACGGCCACAUUGGGACUGAGACACGGCCCAAACUCCUACGGGAGGCAGCAGUGGGGAAUAUUGCACAAUGGGGGAAACCCUGAUGCAGCGACGCCGCGUGAGUGAUGAAGUAUUUCGGUAUGUAAAACUCUAUCAGCAGGGAAGAUAAUGACGGUACCUGACUAAGAAGCACCGGCUAAAUACGUG